rnacentral:rRNA from 1 species
UACGUAGGUGGCAAGCGUUGUUCGGAAUUAUUGGGCGUAAAGCGCGUGUAGGCGGCUUUGCAAGUCGGGUGUGAAAGCCCUCGGCUCAACCGAGGAAGUGCGCCCGAAACUGCAGAGCUUGAGUGCCGGAGAGGAUGGCGGAAUUCCCCAAGUAGAGGUGAAAUGCGUAGAUAUGGGGAGGAACACCGGUGGCGAAGGCGGCCAUCUGGACGGAUACUGACGCUGAGACGCGAAAGCGUGGGUAGCAAACAGG